rnacentral:lncRNA from 1 species
AUAUAAUAGAAAUACUUAAUAACCAGUAGAUAAUUUUUUUGGACAGCAUUAUUAGAUCAUUCCUCCAGGUUCUUAUUAGAAGAAGCUAGGUCUUAUUGCAAAAGACCUUUCCUUUUAAUUUAGGAACCUAAUGGUCUUAGCUUGGUCUGAAUAUUUGACUAUGAUCUAGCACUAAAAUCAUUAAUCUAUGGCCUGUAUUUGUUUUCCUGUGAGCUAAUGAUGAUUUUACAUUUUAAAUGGUUAUAUAUUUAAAUGAUUUUUCAGUGAUUCAUGUCAGAAGACGGGGAAAAGGGCCAUAAAAGUAAUUCUUUCAAGAACUUUGUACACCUUACUG